GAUGAACGCUAGCGGCAGGCCUAAUACAUGCAAGUCGAGGGGUAGAAGAGGCUUGCUUCUUUGAGACCGGCGCACGGGUGCGUAACGCGUAUGCAACCUACCUUCAUCUGGGGGAUAGCCCGGAGAAAUCCGGAUUAAUACCGCAUAAAAUCACAAGAUGGCAUUAUCCAAUGAUCAAACAUUUAUGGGAUGGAGAUGGGCAUGCGUGUCAUCAGCUAGUUGGCGGGGUAACGGCCCACCAAGGCGACGAUGACUAGGGGAUCUGAGAGGAUGGCCCCCCACACUGGUACUGAGACACGGACCAGACUCCUACGGGAGGCAGCAGUAAGGAAUAUUGGCCAAUGGAGGCAACUCUGAACCAGCCAUGCCGCGUGCAGGAAGACUGCCCUAUGGGUUGUAAACUGCUUUUAUUCGGGAAUAAACCUUAUUACGUGUAAUAAGCUGAAUGUACCGAAGGAAUAAGGAUCGGCUAACUCCGUGCCAGCAGCCGCGGUAA
rnacentral:rRNA from 1 species